UACGGAGGGUGCGAGCGUUGUCCGGAAUCAUUGGGCGUAAAGGGCGCGUAGGCGGCCCGGUCAGUCUUUGGUGAAAGCGCGGGGCUCAACCCUGCGUCGGCCAGGGAUACUGCCGCGGCUGGAGCACUGUAGAGGCAGGCGGAAUUCCGGGUGUAGCGGUGGAAUGCGUAGAGAUCCGGAAGAACACCGGUGGCGAAGGCGGCCUGCUGGGCAGUUUUGCUGACACUGAGGCGCGACAGCGUGGGGAGCAAACAGG
rnacentral:rRNA from 1 species